GCGGGCCCCCGGCGCGGCAGCCGUCACAAGGCUGCCCGCGGGGCCCACUUGCAGUGAUGACAGCGCCUGAGGGGCCCACUCGGGCUCAUCUUCCGGAAGAUUCCUACGGUCGGGGUCCGAGGGACGACCCUGCGCACAGGGCCCCGCAGAUCCCGGGCCAGACGGCGGAAGGGGCGCUCCCGCCUGGAGGAAUACCAUGAUCAACUAGCCAAUGACAUAGGUCUGCACAAGUCAGACUAUUUUGAUUGCUGCUUUGACUCUGCUGUCCACCAGUGCUGCCACUUGGUCCCUGCAACCCUAGGAUCCAAUUACUCCUAUUGCAUUUAGGUUCCCCAAUUCAGUGGCUACAGUUCCCACGGUAAGGUCUGGCCUACAGAGAAGAGCGAUCACAGAGCCCUUCGUGGAUGCUGGAGCUCCCCUCACUAACUGCUAUGGAAUGCUGAAUAGCAGAAACGGGGAGCUUUAAAGCUUAAAGGGACAUUAGACGUCAUGUGACCCAUGCUGAGGAAGAAUCCAUGGCAAAAGCAGAAUGUGAACUCUGAUCUCCUAACCUCCUAUCCAUCCAGUCCGGAGUUUUUUGCCUUGUGCCACGAAGCCUUAUUUCAAGCAUUUGGUUGAAUCUGUGGAUGCGGAACCUGAGAAUAUGGAGGGCCAACUGUCCUUACUGAGUGCUCUACAUACAGUAUCCUAUCUAAUUUGCACAGCAAACC